UGUGUGUGUGUCUCUGUAUGUAUGUGUCUGUACGAUACAGACACAUACAUACAGAGACACACACACACA